AUUCAGCUGACAAGUUUCAAAAAAGACGAAACACUUGUCCUGAAU
rnacentral:hammerhead_ribozyme from 1 species